GGGUUGUGAGGUUAAGCGACUAAGCGUACACGGUGGAUGCCCUGGCAGUCAGAGGCGAUGAAGGACGUGCUAAUCUGCGAUAAGCGUCGGUAAGGUGAUAUGAACCGUUAUAACCGGCGAUUUCCGAAUGGGGAAACCCAGUGUGAUUCGUCACACUAUCAUUAACUGAAUCCAUAGGUUAAUGAGGCGAACCGGGGGAACUGAAACAUCUAAGUACCCCGAGGAAAAGAAAUCAACCGAGAUUCCCCCAGUAGCGGCGAGCGAACGGGGAGCAGCCCAGAGCCUGAAUCAGUGUGUGUGUUAGUGGAAGCGUCUGGAAAGGCGCGCGAUACAGGGUGACAGCCCCGUACACAAAAAUGCACAUGCUGUGAGCUCGAUGAGUAGGGCGGGACACGUGGUAUCCUGUCUGAAUAUGGGGGGACCAUCCUCCAAGGCUAAAUACUCCUGACUGACCGAUAGUGAACCAGUACCGUGAGGGAAAGGCGAAAAGAACCCCGGCGAGGGGAGUGAAAAAGAACCUGAAACCGUGUACGUACAAGCAGUGGGAGCACAGAGCAAUCUGUGUGACUGCGUACCUUUUGUAUAAUGGGUCAGCGACUUAUAUUCUGUAGCAAGGUUAACCGAAUAGGGGAGCCGAAGGGAAACCGAGUCUUAACUGGGCGUUAAGUUGCAGGGUAUAGACCCGAAACCCGGUGAUCUAGCCAUGGGCAGGUUGAAGGUUGGGUAACACUAACUGGAGGACCGAACCGACUAAUGUUGAAAAAUUAGCGGAUGACUUGUGGCUGGGGGUGAAAGGCCAAUCAAACCGGGAGAUAGCUGGUUCUCCCCGAAAGCUAUUUAGGUAGCGCCUCGUGAAUUCAUCUCCGGGGGUAGAGCACUGUUUCGGCAAGGGGGUCAUCCCGACUUACCAACCCGAUGCAAACUGCGAAUACCGGAGAAUGUUAUCACGGGAGACACACGGCGGGUGCUAACGUCCGUCGUGAAGAGGGAAACAACCCAGACCGCCAGCUAAGGUCCCAAAGUCAUGGUUAAGUGGGAAACGAUGUGGGAAGGCCCAGACAGCCAGGAUGUUGGCUUAGAAGCAGCCAUCAUUUAAAGAAAGCGUAAUAGCUCACUGGUCGAGUCGGCCUGCGCGGAAGAUGUAACGGGGCUAAACCAUGCACCGAAGCUGCGGCAGCGACGCUGAUGCGUUGUUGGGUAGGGGAGCGUUCUGUAAGCCUGCGAAGGUGUGCUGUGAGGCAUGCUGGAGGUAUCAGAAGUGCGAAUGCUGACAUAAGUAACGAUAAAGCGGGUGAAAAGCCCGCUCGCCGGAAGACCAAGGGUUCCUGUCCAACGUUAAUCGGGGCAGGGUGAGUCGACCCCUAAGGCGAGGCCGAAAGGCGUAGUCGAUGGGAAACAGGUUAAUAUUCCUGUACUUGGUGUUACUGCGAAGGGGGGACGGAGAAGGCUAUGUUGGCCGGGCGACGGUUGUCCCGGUUUAAGCGUGUAGGCUGGUUUUCCAGGCAAAUCCGGAAAAUCAAGGCUGAGGCGUGAUGACGAGGCACUACGGUGCUGAAGCAACAAAUGCCCUGCUUCCAGGAAAAGCCUCUAAGCAUCAGGUAACAUCAAAUCGUACCCCAAACCGACACAGGUGGUCAGGUAGAGAAUACCAAGGCGCUUGAGAGAACUCGGGUGAAGGAACUAGGCAAAAUGGUGCCGUAACUUCGGGAGAAGGCACGCUGAUAUGUAGGUGAAGUCCCUCGCGGAUGGAGCUGAAAUCAGUCGAAGAUACCAGCUGGCUGCAACUGUUUAUUAAAAACACAGCACUGUGCAAACACGAAAGUGGACGUAUACGGUGUGACGCCUGCCCGGUGCCGGAAGGUUAAUUGAUGGGGUUAGCGCAAGCGAAGCUCUUGAUCGAAGCCCCGGUAAACGGCGGCCGUAACUAUAACGGUCCUAAGGUAGCGAAAUUCCUUGUCGGGUAAGUUCCGACCUGCACGAAUGGCGUAAUGAUGGCCAGGCUGUCUCCACCCGAGACUCAGUGAAAUUGAACUCGCUGUGAAGAUGCAGUGUACCCGCGGCAAGACGGAAAGACCCCGUGAACCUUUACUAUAGCUUGACACUGAACAUUGAGCCUUGAUGUGUAGGAUAGGUGGGAGGCUUUGAAGUGUGGACGCCAGUCUGCAUGGAGCCGACCUUGAAAUACCACCCUUUAAUGUUUGAUGUUCUAACGUUGACCCGUAAUCCGGGUUGCGGACAGUGUCUGGUGGGUAGUUUGACUGGGGCGGUCUCCUCCUAAAGAGUAACGGAGGAGCACGAAGGUUGGCUAAUCCUGGUCGGACAUCAGGAGGUUAGUGCAAUGGCAUAAGCCAGCUUGACUGCGAGCGUGACGGCGCGAGCAGGUGCGAAAGCAGGUCAUAGUGAUCCGGUGGUUCUGAAUGGAAGGGCCAUCGCUCAACGGAUAAAAGGUACUCCGGGGAUAACAGGCUGAUACCGCCCAAGAGUUCAUAUCGACGGCGGUGUUUGGCACCUCGAUGUCGGCUCAUCACAUCCUGGGGCUGAAGUAGGUCCCAAGGGUAUGGCUGUUCGCCAUUUAAAGUGGUACGCGAGCUGGGUUUAGAACGUCGUGAGACAGUUCGGUCCCUAUCUGCCGUGGGCGCUGGAGAAUUGAGGGGGGCUGCUCCUAGUACGAGAGGACCGGAGUGGACGCAUCACUGGUGUUCGGGUUGUCAUGCCAAUGGCACUGCCCGGUAGCUAAAUGCGGAAGAGAUAAGUGCUGAAAGCAUCUAAGCACGAAACUUGCCCCGAGAUGAGUUCUCCCUGACUCCUUGAGAGUCCUGAAGGAACGUUGAAGACGACGACGUUGAUAGGCCGGGUGUGUAAGCGCAGCGAUGCGUUGAGCUAACCGGUACUAAUGAACCGUGAGGCUUAACCUUACAACGCCGAAGGUGUUU
rnacentral:rRNA from 1 species